rnacentral:rRNA from 1 species
AGUCGAACGCUGAAGCACCAGCUUGCUGGUGUGGAUGAGUGGCGAACGGGUGAGUAAUACGUGAGUAACCUGCCCUUGACUCUGGGAUAAGCCCGGGAAACUGGGUCUAAUACUGGAUGCUACAUGUCACCGCAUGGUGGUGUGUGGAAAGGGUUUACUGGUCUUGGAUGGGCUCACGGCCUAUCAGCUUGUUGGUGAGGUAAUGGCUCACCAAGGCGACGACGGGUAGCCGGCCUGAGAGGGUGACCGGCCACACUGGGACUGAGACACGGCCCAGACUCCUACGGGAGGCAGCAGUGGGGAAUAUUGCACAAUGGGCGAAAGCCUGAUGCAGCGACGCCGCGUGAGGGAUGACGGCCUUCGGGUUGUAAACCUCUUUCAGCAGGGAAGAAGCCACAAGUGACGGUACCUGCAGAAGAAGCGCCGGCUAACUACGUGCCAGCAGCCGCGGUAAUACGUAGGGCGCAAGCGUUGUCCGGAAUUAUUGGGCGUAAAGAGCUCGUAGGCGGUUUGUCGCGUCUGCUGUGAAAGCCCGGGGCUUAACCCCGGGUGUGCAGUGGGUACGGGCAGACUAGAGUGCAGUAGGGGAGACUGGAAUUCCUGGUGUAGCGGUGGAAUGCGCAGAUAUCAGGAGGAACACCGAUGGCGAAGGCAGGUCUCUGGGCUGUUACUGACGCUGAGGAGCGAAAGCAUGGGGAGCGAACAGGAUUAGAUACCCUGGUAGUCCAUGCCGUAAACGUUGGGCACUAGGUGUGGGGGACAUUCCACGUUUUCCGCGCCGUAGCUAACGCAUUAAGUGCCCCGCCUGGGGGAGUACGGCCGCAAGGCUAAAACUCAAAGGAAUUGACG